rnacentral:rRNA from 1 species
GAUGAACGCUGGCGGCGUGCCUAAUACAUGCAAGUAGAACGCUGAAGGAGGAGCUUGCUCUUCUGGAUGAGUUGCGAACGGGUGAGUAACGCGUAGGUAACCUGCCUGGUAGCGGGGGAGAACUAUUGGAAACGAUAGCUAAUACCGCAUGACAUCAGUUAUUGCAUGAUAACUGUUUAAAAGGGGCAACUGCUCCACUACCAGAUGGACCUGCGUUGAACUAGCUAGUUGGUGAGGUAACGGCUCACCAAGGCGACGAUACAUAGCCGACCUGGGAGGGGGAUCGGCCACACUGGGACUGGGAAACGGCCCAGAACUCCUAGGGAGGCAGCAGUAGGGGAACUUCGGGAAUGGAGGGAAGGCUGAACGAGCAAAGCCGGGGGGGGGGAGGAGGGUCUCGGGUCGGAAAGCUCUGUUGUAAGAGAAGAACGAGAGGGAGAGGGGAAAGUUCACACUGUGACGGUAUCUAAUCAGAAAGCGACGGCUAACUACGUG